CCCAGAGACAGGGAAGAUUUCAUGACAACUCCCAGGAAAUUGCAAGUACAAGUCUCUCUGCCUAGGAAGCCAACUGUGAGAUAGGGUGAUUACCCCCAGCCAGGGAAUGCAAUGUGAGCAGACUGGCAGGUGGGAGGAAGAAUCUGACAGCUGGGCUACUUGAAGAAAACGACUGAAAGUAUCCAGCACUGAGUUUGGCAGGAUGUACACCCGAUAGCUCACUCCAGCAGAGGCUGUCCACACACCUCCCUUCUUCCAGCCGCUGAGAUGGGUCUCUUCUGCUCUCCACCUCCAUGUGGUUACCCACUAGAGCAGUCAAGUCUACAUAAGGACAUCCUGAGUGUCCAACCAGCCUGGAAGUUGGCCAGAUGGAGGUCAGGGGAAGUGGGGGCAAUAACAAGCAGGCCCUGUUCUCAGCCCAACCCCCAGUGCCAGCUCUUCAGGUAGAAAGGACGACUCUUGCCGAAGGAACAGAAAAGGAGCUGCAGAGGGAAAAGGCACACCUGGAUUUCAUCUCAUCACCAGCCGGGAUCUAGGGUAAGAUACAUUUGUUUUCAGAUGGUGUCAUUCCGAGGCAGAGCUUGAAAGAGAUAGGUCGCCAACAAAACUGGAUGUGACAUGAGGAUGAGACGAAGAACUGGAAAGGAAUAGCUGCAGGGCCCGAGGCCAUUGCCCUCAGUCCCUCCUGAGCAAAUGCAGAUCAACAACAGCACUGAACCGAUGGAUGCAUGACUGAGUGCAGAAGAGCAGGCCUCAAAGAAGGAAUGUGCCGGGCAACAGCAGCGUACCAAGAAGCUAAGGCUGCAGCAGCUUGCCAGGAAAGCAGGCUGUACACACACGAGGAUAUGCAGAGGGUGGCAGAAGAGAGAGACACAACCACGAUGUUCAUUCCAUCCAGGAUUGCUUUCAAUUAAUCCCCAAAAGGCAACUUAAUUCUGUUUUCUUUUUAAUAUUUCAAGUUGGAGUUCUAGUAGCAAAAGCUUCUGCCCACAGAGUGCAUCUUGAUUAGAAAGUAAGAGGAGCCCUCUUUUGUGCAGAUGGAAGAAAAACAGAAGAACAAGAAGCACUACUGAAUUUGCUAGGUGGACAGCAGAACAAAGGCCCCAAUGUGCUAGUGUCCUCUGACAAAAGCUGGAAGGGAAGAGGUGGACAUCCAUGGCAGCUGUAAUGCAAGGUGUGUUUAUGACUCAUUUUCCUGCAGUUACUUGUCAGUGUGAUAGAAUCAAAUCUGGACAACUCUGGUGGCUGUUUCUGGAACCCAGCUCAACGUGGUUACAUUUUGUCCUGGGGUUCACUCCAGGAUGUGAUUUCCUCAGGAAUCGGUUUAACCUCUGCAGAUCUGUACUCCAGAAAAGACUCACCUGCUCACAGGCAGAUUAGUAACACCAGCCAGGCACGGGAGAUGGUGUGAAGGGCCUCGUAAAAUGUGGUCGCGCGCUGUUUGUGAGUUGCUGAAUGAUUGUGGAAGUAACUGCGAGAAGAAACUUGAGCUCCUGGACACAUAGUCGUGAAUGAUCCUAAUUUUGGU